GUUUUUAUAGUUGAAUAACA
rnacentral:tRNA from 1 species